rnacentral:rRNA from 1 species
AAGCGACCAAGCGUACACGGUGGAUGCCCUGGCAGUCAGAGGCGAUGAAGGACGUGCUAAUCUGCGAAAAGCGCCGGUAAGGUGAUAUGAACCGUUAUAACCGGCGAUGUCCGAAUGGGGAAACCCAGUGUGACUCGUCACACUAUCAUUAACUGAAUCCAUAGGUUAAUGAGGCGAACCGGGGGAACUGAAACAUCUAAGUACCCCGAGGAAAAGAAAUCAACCGAGAUUCCCCCAGUAGCGGCGAGCGAACGGGGAGGAGCCCAGAGCCUGAAUCAGCAUGUGUGUUAGUGGAAGCGUCUGGAAAGGCGCGCGAUACAGGGUGAGAGCCCCGUACA